rnacentral:rRNA from 1 species
UAUGCUGCCGGGUUGGGAUCGGCCCGCGUCCCAUUAGCUAGUUGGUGAGGUAACGGCUCACCAAGGCCACGAUGGGUAGCCGGCCUGAGAGGGUGUACGGCCACACUGGCACUGAGACAAUGGCCAGUCCCCUAUGGGAGGCGCAGGCGGGAAUAGUUCACAAUGGGCGAAAGCCUGAUGACGCGACGCCGCGUGAGCGAAGAAGACCUUCGGGUUGUAAAGCUCUGUCAGGAGGGAAGAAGGCUCUACGGGUCAAUAGCCCGUGGGAUUGACGGUACCUCCAGAGGAAGCCCCGGCUAAAUACGUGCCAGCAGCCGCGGUAAUACGUAUGGGGCAAGCGUUGUCCGGAUUUACUGGGCGUAAAGGGCGCGUAGGCGGUUUGUUAAGUCGAAGGUGAAAUCCUCGGGCUCAACUCGAGAAUUGCCUUCGAUACUGGCAAACUAGAGUGGCGGAGAGGAAAGCGGAACUCUUGGUGUAACGGUGGAAUGUGUAGAUAUCAAGAGGAACACCGGUGGCGAAGGCGGCUUUCUGGACGCACACUGACGCUCAGGCGCGAAAGCGUGGGUAGCAAACAGGAUUAGAUACCCUGGUAGUCCACGCCAUAAACGAUGGGUACUAGGUGUCGGGGGUAUCGACCCCUCCGGUGCCGCAGUUAACGCACUAAGUACCCCGCCUGGGGAUUAUGGUCGCAAGGCUGAAACUCAAAGGAAUUGACGGGGCCCCGCACAAGCGGUGGAGCAUGUGGUUUAAUUCGACGCAACGCGAAGAACCUUACCUGGGCUUGACAUGCUUGGGACAGCGCUGGAAACAGCGUCUCUCCUUCGGGAGCCCUUGCACAGGUGCUGCAUGGCUGUCGUCAGCUCGUGUCGUGAGAUGUUGGGUUAAGUCCCGCAACGAGCGCAACCCUCGUUACUAGUUGCCAUCAGUUCGGCUGGGCACUCUAGUGAGACUGCCGGUGAUAAACCGGAGGAAGGUGAGGAUGAUGUCAAGUCAUCAUGGCCCUUACGCCCAGGGCUACACACGUGCUACAAUGGUCGGCACAAAGGGUCGCUAAGCCGCGAGGUGGAGCUAAUCCCAAAAAGCCGGCCUCAGUUCGGAUUGGAGUCUGCAACCCGACUCCAUGAAGNCGGAAUCGCUAGUAAUCGCGGAUCAGCAUGCCGCGGUGAAUAUGUUCCCGGGGCUUGACACACCGCCCGUCAUAUCACCCGAGUCGG